AGUCGUACGAGAGUUUUUAACUCUAGUGGCGGACGGGUGAGUAACACGUGAGAAUUUACCUUUAGGAGGGGGAUAACAGCGUAUCAAUAGAUAUUACGGAAACGGCUGCUAAUACCCCAUAUGCUUUUGAGUGAAAUAGAUUUAUCUGCCUAAAGAGAAGCUCGCGGCUGAUUAGCUUGUUGGUAAGGUAAUGGCUUACCAAGGCGACGAUCAGUAUCUGGUUUGAGAGGACGAUCAGACACACUGGAACUGAGACACGGUCCAGACUCCUACGGGAGGCAGCAGUGGGGAAUUUUCCGCAAUGGGCGAAAGCCUGACGGAGCAAUACCGCGUGAGGGAAGACGGCCUAUGGGUUGUAAACCUCUUUUUUCAGGGAGGAAUUCAAUGACGUGUACCUGAGGAAUAAGCAUCGGCUAACUCCGUGCCAGCAGCCGCGGUAAUAC
rnacentral:rRNA from 1 species